rnacentral:ncRNA from 2 species
AAACAUCUUCAGGGCAGGGUUUAAUUCCCGACCGGUGGUAAGCAGUGGAUUCUGCAAGCCCACGAACCGCAAGGUUGAUUUGGUGUAAUUCCAAAGCCGACAGUAUAGUCUGGAUGAAAGAAGAUAUAC